AAAAAAAAAAAAAAAAAGUCAAGAUCACAGUUAACACUGUUGAGUUUGUGCCUUGCUUAAAGCUCAAUGCUGUUGUUGAAGAUACUGGAACAUGCAGCCUCACUUGUGGGGCUGGCAGAGGCGAAAGCAGCAGGAAUCUUACAGUGAAGCACAUAAGCUGCCAAAAAUCUCAAUUCUGGGUGAUUUGAUUGGGUCUUAAAUUUUCAAUUAACUCUGGUCACCGAGGGAUGAACCUGUCCUUUGAUGGGUUUCAUCUCAGAUGGAGGCCCAUAAAGCAUCACAAUUUCUGCAAAACAGUACCCCAUUAUGCCUUUUGUGUGAGUGUUUUGCCAGCCUUUCCAUGCCAGGCCACUCUAACACCACUUGAAAGCUACCUGUGUCAGCUCUGUGAAAAUCGACUGUGUUUUAUGCACAUUUGGUGCCAGGGACAGUUGGCACGGAGAGCAAUCUGUGUAAUAAGGCCGGUGCCCAGGGCUUGGGCCUUCCUUGAAUGGUCCAGUCCUGCACUGACUAGUACAGGAGCCACCAGCCACAUGGUAUUUAUAUGUAAUCAUUAAUUAAAACAAAGUAAAAUAAAAUAUACCGUUCUUCUGUCACACUAGCCACAUUUCAAGUGCUCAGUAGCCAUGUGUGGCUGGUGACUGCUAUUGGACAGCGCAGACAGAGAACAUUUUUAUCAUCGCCGAAAGUUCUAUAGCUUAACACUGUUCUAGUCUGUUUUCAAGAGAGGAAAACUCGGUUUCAGGUCAGAAUCUGUGUCUCUAACUCAUAACAAUGUACCAUUUUAUCAUGAAGAUUUGCCCUUAGGUUCAUAGUGACCAUAGGAGGAUUCAUUGAUUCCACAAAUAUUUAUUGAAGGUCAACCUUGGGCCAGAUGCCAUGUCUUGGGGACAUGUGGGUGAACCAGACAGGAGGUGUUCCUGGGUUGCCUUAGUCAGCUCGGGUGGCCAUAAUAAAAUACCACAGACUGUCUUAAACAACAGAUGCAUAUUUUCUCAUAGUUCUGGAGGCUGGAAGUUGCUACCCUGGAGAUCAAGGUGCCAGCAUGGUUGGGUUCUGGUCAGGGCUCUCUUGGCUUGCAGACAACAGCCUUCUCAUUGUGUCCUCACAUGGCAGAGAGGCAGGGAGGGAAGACGGGGGUUGAGGGGAAGACAGACAGAGAGCGAGAAAAAGAGAACAGGAGCGAGCACAAGCUCUCUUGUGUCUCAUGUUGUAAGGACACUAGUCCCAUCAGAUUGUGCCCCAUCCUUAUGACAUGAUUUGACCUUCAUUACUUUCUUACUCCAAAUGUAGUCACUUUAGGGGUUACGAUGAUUUGGAAGGACACAAUUCAGUCCAUAGCACCAGACUAUAGAUUGGUACUUUACUUUGGUUCAAUCUCUCUCACAGAUGAAGAACCAGUACUUGAUGCUAGAGUAAUGGAGACUGAUGGGAUGGUGGUAGCCCAGGCUUGAUGAAGGAGUCUGUGUGUCAAGGAAGACUUGAAAUCCUCAGAUGAAGAAAUUGAUUUGGCAGGCAACAAGUAGUAAGUGGGCCCAGAAUCCAGUGUUUCAGCUCUUUCCACUCAAAGCUUAUCCACUGCACAUGAAAGAGAGCUCAGCGCCAACCGCCAGUCCUCUGAAGGGUGUCGCGGUGAUAUUUGUUUGAAUAACUUUAUUGAACUAUAAUUUAAAUACCAUGAAACACACCCAUAUGAAGUGCCUGCGUGAUGAGUUCUGAUAGGUGUAAACAUUUGUAGAACUAUCACCACACUCAAGAUAUAAAACUUUUCCAUCACCCCAGAAAGUUCCCUCAGGUGCCUGCCCUGACCCAGCCAACUGCUGAUCUGCUGUGUGUCACUGUUGAAUAGUUUUGCUUCUUUUUGAAUAAUAUGUACAUAGAAUCAUACAGUGUGUGUGCCUCUGGCUUCUUUAACUCAGCCUAAUGCCUUUGCAGUUCAGUCUGUGCUGUUGUAUGUAUGGAGUCCUUGCUGUUGUAUGUAUGGAGUCCUUGCUGUUGUAUGUAUGGGGUCCUUGCUGUUGUAUGUAUGGGGUCCUUGCUGUUGUAUGUUUGGGGUCCUUGUUGUAUAUAUGGAGUCCUUGCUGUUGUAUGUAUGGAGUCCUGGCUGUUGUAUGUAUGGAGUCUGUGCUGUUGUAUGUAUUGAGUCCUCGCUGUUGUGUGUAUCAAGAGUUCAUUCCUUUUUGUUUCUGAGUAAUAUUCCCUUGUUUGCAUGUGCCACAAUUUGUUGAAUCAUUUUCCUGUUGAACAUUUGGGAAAUUUCCAGUUCGGGGCUAUUAUGAAAAAAAAAGCUGAAUAUCCACGAACAAGUGUUAUGUGUGGAUGUUUUCUCUUCUGUUGGGGAAAUAUGUAGGAGUGGAAUUGUUGGGUUGUAUGCUAAAUACAUGUUUACCUUUAUAAGAUACUGCUCAACUGUUUUCCAAAGUGUUUGUUCUAUUUUACAUUUCCAAAAACAAUGUAUGAGAGUGGAUAGCUUCAUUUUUUUUAUAGGUAAUAGUCAGAGUUACUUUUUAUUCAGCACCUACUGUUGUAUUAAUCUCUUCUAAACAAACUAACAACAAUCUUAUGAGGUAGGUGGAGUCACCCCCACGGUGUAGAAGAAUAAAUUGAGAUACUGAGUUUGGAGCAGUUAUAAAAGAAACUUGCUAGGCCACCAAACACUUGGAGCUUUGCAGGAUAUCUUGUAGUUUUACAGAACAGCAAAGCCUUCACUUUGGCUUUCUUGGUUCCUGAAUCUUCUGUGUGCUGUGGUGGGUUUAAACUGAAUUGAAGGGCUUCAACAUGAAAAAGUUCAAAGGUAAUUUAUUCACCUUUGCCCCUUUCUCAAGCUUGUCUUCUGUUUCUAUUCUUGAGUUCCUCCUUAUAAGACAUUCCCAUGACACACAUUACAAUUUCGAGGAUCAUUCCACACUGCUGCAUUUUACAAAUUCCCAUCUUUGUGGUUUUCCUGUCUAAGAGGACUUUAAGAACUGAUUUUCGGGAUGCUUUCUUCGACAUUGUGCUGACCAGGCUCAUACUUGGCUUUCGGCCACCAGCAUUCUAGCCGUAAACUCUGUAUAUAAAUUUUGGGUGGUCGUGAUAAUAACAGGAUGACAUUCCUUAUUCAAGACAUGCACAUUGCGCAAUAAAUUUUCUACAGGUCCAGUUUUUCUUUGACCUCCAGUCUGGGGGAUUUUAGCCCGACAUACAACUACAGAAGCAGCUGAUAAUCGUUGUUUAUAAGAGUUGUCCUUUCAGUCUCCCUUCACGGCUGGGAAAAAGACUAAUCUAAAAAAAUGGAUCAUGAUUUACAUUAUAUUCUGAAAAUUAAGAAAUGAAAGUUGUGGGGAGCUAAGUGUUUGGGUGCCUAAUGGCUAGUUAUAAAUCCUGGCACUAUUAGCCUUUCUGAUUUCAUGAAGGGAGAUGAUAGGCCAAUUCCAUGGCCUCAUCUAAAAUAAUGUCAAUCUCCAGAAAAGCCUUUAAAACUAAUCAUUAGCUUAAAGGAGUGGUUCCCAACCUUGAGAGUGAAUCAGAAUAGCCUGGAGGGCUUGUCAAAAUGCAGAGUCCUGGACCCCAUCCUCAAAGUUUCUGAUUUAGUAAGUCUAGGGCAAGGCCUGAGAAUCUGCUUUUGUAAUAAGUUCCCAGGCAAUGCUGAUGCUGCUGGUCUGGGGACUACACUUGGAGAACCUUAAAAGAUCAUGUGGAGUACAAUUUUUUUUUUAAUUUGAGUGGAGAUGGCGGAAAAAAAUUAUACUAGUGUGGUCUUUUGAGUAUAAAAUAAAUUCAAUAAAUAUUUACUUACCUACCUAUGUAUUAUGACCAAAUCAUAACUUACUUCCUUUAGGUGACUUGGAAUAUAUUUGGGAGGACAGGCCAGAGGAAUAAAAAUAAGAAUACAAGGUGAUACAAUGAUUCUCAAAGGUUGUUUAAAAAGUUCCCAUGCCCGGCUGCACACUAGACCAAUUAAGUCAGUCUUGGUGGUGUGGUUUGGUUCUGUGUCCCCACCCCACCUACAGUUCACACCACAGAACAGGUGUCAACAGACUCAGCUGAAGUCUGUGAUGUCUCAGGGAGCUGGCUAAGAUGGAUACCUGGCUGCUGGUGCCUGCAGGUUCUGGGAGGGAGGGGGGCGUUUUACAGGGGAGCCCAACAUCGCAAACUAGGGAAAGGAAGGAAGAGAAUUGGAGGGGAUGAGUACUUAUUUGCAUUACAGGAGGAUUCUUGGUUUAAAGUGGGUUUCACCAUGGGGUUCCUUUAGAUAGAGCCUCAAGUACUCUGAAGUGUUUGUUUUGCCUUUCCUUAACGAGGUAUUUAUUACCUCUCUGUAAAUAUGAUACCUGCAGUUUUAGAACAUAACAAAUCCAUCUAUAACAUUUGCAGCUCUUCAGCAGAACUGAGCAUACAGUCACUGACGUUGAUGGCAUUUUUUCUAAGUAAAAACAAACAAACCUUGGAGCAAAAUGUCAGAAGCCCUGGAUGAGGGAAGGUGGAUGACUAGAAGGGAGGCUCUAAGCAGCCCUUGAUAUUGCUGCAAGAGGCCCCAGGGUCAGAGAUGGGUGGGGGGGGACUUUCCAUAUUUCCGCAAAUUUAAGCUCACCCCGGAUGGAGGCUCCUCCUGGUACAGUCCUUCAUCUUCAUGGCAGAAAGGCUGUUCUGCCCCUGCGCCCUCCCUGGCCUCUCUGGGGAUCCCUGCAGAUGAUGUAUUGUGAUGGAGCAGUGGACUUGGACGCUCCUGGUAUUGAUAUAAUCAUUGUUAACAGUAGCAACAGUAAUAACAGCUAAUGUGGCAUGCAUGGUGCUCAGUGUCAAUUAAUCCUUAUAGAGAUCCUGAUUUUACAAAUGAGGAAACAAGGCUCAGUGAGGUUACCUAAUGUGCCCAUGGUUCUGCAGCGAAUAUGUGAUGAGCUAGAAUCAGAACUCAGACUUGCGUUCUUCAAUUCUUUACUCUUAAGGAUUGUGGACCAUACCAACGGUCCCUCGGGUAUGGCUUUGAUAUUUGGUUGGCUGUGAUUGGUCAUUCAAGGACCCCAGCUUUGAUGCUCUCUUUUUGAUUGAGCCCCACUCUAGGGAGAAUUUGGCUGCAUGUUUUGGUGAAUCAUAGAUGGUGGGAAUGAGAAUAGCAACUCAGUGGUUGAGUGUCGUCUUAUGCUGUGUGGUUUGCAAUGCAGCUUGAUAUACUUUAGCUCAAUUAAUCCUUACAAGUCUAGAGACGUUUUUUGUUCUGUUUGACAAAUAGGGAGCCUGACAAAUAGGGUGGUCCUGUCUUGCAGAGCCGCAGCUUGCACUGAGGUCUUCCGACUCCAUGUGCCCUGUGUGUCUCGCUGCUGCCUGGGACCCACAGAGUCUCUGAGGGUCCAGAGCCACAUUAAAGGUCAUGCUGCCCAUGACUUGUUGGGGACCACUUUCCUUAGGUAUCAAGAACAUGAGUGUUGGUCAAUAACCCACUGGAGUGUAGUGCUGGCUUCUGUUGUUCCCGGCUUUAAAAUAGGGCUAGAUUUGACCUCCAGCUCAGAUUCAGAAGGCCAAGUCUGAGCUUGAGUAUGUGUUGAUGGCUGCCACUUAGUCCCAGUUUUGUAAGUGUGCCAAUAUCGGGACUUUUCCUGUGCUGAAUAUAGACUCCUCCUUUGCUGAAAAUAGUAUAUGCGGUAGGGUAGGGAAACAUUUUUCUUUCCUAGAAAAUCGCUCCUUGCUCCUCUAGGUAACACUGACUUCUGUGAAACCAUCUGUUCCUUCCAGUAUAAUUUCCAGACUAUUAGAUUAAACAGUUUCUCCUGACCCACUUUUGGCUUCUGUUUCUUUUCACUGUUCAUUAAUAAAUUGUGUAGCAGAGUUUUUAUGGAGAGUGUGUGUGUGUCUAUUUACUUAAUUUCAGUUUAGGCAAAAGCAAUUGUUGGGUGCAGUGAAGUUAUUUAACUUCCUACUUGUGUUUCAUUUUUGUUUCCGGUUUCUAUAAUUGCUAAGAGUUGGUUUUUGUUUUUGAGAUUCAUGCAAGGAAGUCAAUGGCAUGAGUUAUGAGUUGAGGUUCUGGCUGGGAGGUGUGUUAAAAACAGACCCUGUUUUUAAACAGAAGAUGCAAAGAGUAAUAAGGAAAUCGGUUCCCAUAAAAUAUGUCUCAAAGUAGAUAAAUAUGCUCUUACAGUUUGAAGAGAUUUUUAAAAGAUAAAUGAGAUAAUAUGUGUGAUGUAGCUUUAAGUUUUUCUGAGCAAAGCUGCUAUAUUCGUCUUUGGUAUUGUUGCUUUUGAUGUUGCAACCAAGUCUGCUAUUAGCGUUAAUGUUAUUGUUAAAUAUUCACUAAUGGGAGUAAUAAGAUUAGAUUUAAAAGGAAGGAAGGCAUUCUUUACAUUCCUUUGCAUUCCUUUCUGAAUGUAAAAACUCUUCAUGCUCUUUUCCCAGCUACUCUAAAUCCAGACCAAGGAGCAACACUACUCAGUCUUGUAUGAAAAUGGGCUCAGUUGUGUGUGUGUGUGUUCAUGUGCAUAUGUGUGUAACCCAAGCAGUAAAUUUCAGCAACUAAGGCUGCCUUCAGUAAAAUGAAAUUCCUUGCUGAUGACUGUUAUCUGUCAAAGCAAAACCAAAUUAUUUUUCUGCAGGGAUUCAUAAAAGCAGCCUUGAGGUAGUGAUAAUAAUUGUUAUCUAAUUUGGUUAAAGCGGAACAGAAAACAAGUUAAUAUUCUAUGCACCCUACUAAUUAUUAUUAGCAAUAUUGCUUUAAAGAAUUUUAUAACGAAGCUUUCUCUAAUUUCACUGGGUCCACUGUCGUUUUAUAGUUUGACCAGAUUUCACCAAUGCUUCAGAAGACAGGAGUCCUGUUGAAUUUUAUCUACGAAAUAUUUUCAAAAGCAAAUCUGGUGUGAAAAGGAAACUGGUUGCCAUGCUGUGAGCUGACCUGUGGAGAGACCCAUGUGGCAAGGAACCGAGGGAGGCUUCCUGUGAACAGGCAGUGAGGAAUUGGGGCCCUAAGCCCAAUAGCCCUGGAGGAAGUAAAUAUGAAUCUUGCUCAACAACUGUGUGCAUGAGCUUGGAAGUGGAUCUUCCCCCAGUGGAGCCUUGAGAUGACUUCAGCCCCGGCCGAUGUCCUCAGGCAACCUCAUGAAAGAUUUUGAGCCAGAGGCACCCAGAUAAGCUGCACCUGGAUUCCUGACUCACAGAAACUGUGAGAAAAUAAAUGUUGUUUUAAGCCACUGUUUUGUGGUAAUUUGUUAUAUAUUAAUAAUGAAGGCAGUUUAUGUUAAAAAGUCUUGCUUCUAUAUGAGAGACAACAUCAUGGAGUUGCUGGGAGCACAGACUCUUGAGCCAACCUGGCUCCAGAUUCUGGCUCUGCUACUUAUUAGCUGUGUGACCUUGAGAAAGUCACUUCACUUCUCUGUGCCUCAGUUUCCUUAUUGGGAGAUGGGAAAUGUAGCUUUUGGCCCCCAGGCUCUAUAUUUCAGGAAGAUUAGCUAGAAAGAGGUGGAAAUGGGUUUUAAUUGACACAGUCCACAGUCUGUGUCACAGUGAGUAUUACAAAGGGGUCACAUUAAUAGUUUUUGUGACACUCUCAAGUCACUUAAACUCCCCCAGGAAGCUCCUGUUUGGUUGGGGACAAUUUUCCAGAGGAAGGGGCAGCUGUGAGUGCUUAGCAGCCACCACACAGCACCUGGGAGAUUGGAGCAAUAGUCCUUUAAAGACCAUCAACAAGAGUGGUCCCUACGAUGUUCUUCUGCUAAUCUAGAAGCAAAUGAUCACUGUGUUCAUUUUUCCAUUUUUGUCAUUUCUUUGAUACUAUGGAGACACAUGCUUAGCAUGUUUUUCUAAUUUCAUGCCAUGGGCCUGUUGAGCAGAGCUCAUCACUUCUCAAGAUUAAAUUAUAUGUUUAAGAAAUGCCUUCUGUGUCAACCACAGUUAUUCAUCAGCCUUGCUGUAAGUGGCUAAGCCUAGCUUUCAGCUGUGAAAGUCAAGAUUUGUGACAUUUAAACAUAUUGAUGAGAUGCAAAUGUCCUGUGGUUAGCCUUCCACAAGGCCCUAGCACUCAUGUAAAUAAAUAAGAAGGAAUUGGAAGGGUGGGCAGCAGAGCCCUCCCUUGAAUAGGAAAAUUGUUUUUUCCUGGGUGCCAGCAUCUGGUCGCUGCCGUCAGUGGUAAUGAGGUUCGGCUCUUCCCAUAUGUCCCUGAUUCAUUGAGGGUUGUUUAUUUGUAGAUACAACUAGACUGUUUUUCUCCUUUUUCUUUUCUUUUUUUAAACUAGGUUUCCCUAACUCAGCACCACCACCGCCUCUCUAAAAAUAAGCAUCAAAUUAUUUGUCUAGGGAAACAUUUUUUAAAUGAUACUAGCUCUCCUCAACUUGUGAAAGUUUCUUGUGUCUUCUUGCUGUUUUCACUUUAUCUGCUCUCUAGCAGAAAAAUAAAAUUGCAUUCGAUUGACACACUUUCCUGCUGGGAAUUCAAGACAUAUUACAGCCCUGUCUGUGUGUUCUCAGUUGUGAUGAAACUGUGGAAAAUCCCCAGCAACCUUAAAUGAGAUAGGUGCAGGUGAUUAAUCCAGUUUCAGGAAGAAAUCAAAUAAUUUACUCCUUUUUCCCCAUUAAAGAAACAACCAUGCAUUGAGGUAGCUGAUGCCAUGUGAGCAGGAGUGUGCUUUAAUGGAGGCACCAUUAAUAAUUUACCUUAAUAGUGUAAUAGUUGCCAUUUUUGUGACCAAAAAUUUGUUUCAGUCCCUGCUUUAUGGAUGAAAAGUAGGAUCAAUUAAUAUUGAGUGAUGACAGCCUCCCUGUGGAGAGAAAAUGGGAAAUCUUGGUGUCGUCAUCCGCCUUAUGACUAAGAAAUAGCUUUUCUUAAUUGUACGGAACAGAGAAACCCAGGGGGAUGUAAUUCAUUUCUCUCCAGCUUGCAAUGUAAGUUGAAAGUAAAGAAAAAUAACCACAUGCCAGAGUGAGGACAUGAACUCAACCACUAAGCUAUAUCUGAUUUGUAGGAUUUGCUGGAAGUAAGCAGACAGUUUCCCCCACGAUGGUGAGUCUCCUUCAACUGUGGCAUUGCUCCAAAUACCUCUUAUAGCACGUGACCCAGGGUGUUUCUCUCUGAUGGGGUAAUGGAGCCUGUCUGCCUAGAAGCAUUGGGUCCCAGGUCUUCUCCCAGCUCAUUCCCUCUUCCCUCCCAUCCUUAUAGUCUCCCCCUAAAUGCUACCUUUUCAGAGAGGCCUUCUUUUACCACCUUGCCCCAAACAGCCUCUUUCCUUGCCCAACUCGCUGUCAACCUCUGCUUUCUAUCUUAUUUUCUUUGUGGAACUUACGAUCAUCUGAAAUCAUAUUAUUAUUUAUGUGGUAUUUACCAUGUCCUCCAACCAUAAUGGUAAGCUCCAUGAGGGCAUGGUUUUUCCUUGUUCUCUAAGCAGCUAAAUCCUUAGGGCCUCAGUGCUGAGGAUGCUUGUUGAGUGACUGAAUGAGUGAAUCAUUAGUAUGAAAAUGCAAUAAUUCAGAAUAAUUUAAAACUCUUGCACAUGCACACCAGCUUUCUGUAAAGGUAUAUUGACUUUAAGGUUCCCCUCUGCCUUCUCCAUCUUGAGCCCCUACUGGCAGAACCCAAUAGAAAUUCAACUGGCAAAGCGAGGAUGCAGUUUGCACAGUCCUCGCCCCACCACACAGGUCAGACUUGGAUCAGAAAGACGGCAACUAAAUGACCAGCACAGUCCAACCAUUCAGAUUCUCAGCAUUCACAUAUCCUCCUACACAUUUUCAACUUGGCACAACAGCAGGACAGCUUUGUUUCUGCCUAUGAUGUGUCUAUGCUUCAUACGGUAUUCACACUCUUAAGGGAAGACAAAAAGUCCCAGUUGGCAUGGUGUCUGUCUCUGGGUGGGAUGAAUUAUUUUCCUGGUUCUGUCUGUAGGAUAUAGAAUAUUUAUCUGGGAUUGGUGGAAUGAGAGGAGGAAUUAAUGUUGCUUCAAUAUGGAAACCGUGACUGCUGGGACUUGGCUUUUGCCCUCAGCCAGCACCUUCUGUGGCAGAGGUUUAUUUAUUACCUGGUGGAAUAACCUAGGGAUCUUAAUCCUCAGUGAUUCUCUCUGUAUGUCUGUUAGUUGCUUUAGUUUUCCAUUGAUUUUUUACUCUUGGACAUGGAAGUACCAAGAGGCACUCUAGAGACUCUCCAGGUGCCAGGCAUACUCUUCUCUGCCCCUGUCGUAUGGCAGCAAUGGCAGCAGUCCAGUUUCCCUGUGGAAAUUGGGAUCAUUCACCCCAGUCAGUAGGGUAAUUGCCUUCUUUGCCUUUUGUUUCUGUGGCAUUGGUAGUCUAAAAUAGCCAAGGGGCAAUCUCAGCUUCUAGUUCAGUAAAACCACUGCAGUGUCUCCUGGAGGGAGCAUUCCUUUCUUGGGAACCAGCAGCUCCAAAUCUGCAGAUUCAAAAAUUGUGGGGCUGGUAAGCAAAACUCUAAGCAUACUAGGUGUCUUGGUCUGUUUGUAUUGCCAUAGAAGAAUACUUGAAACUGGGCAAUUUAUAAAGAAAAAAGGUUUAUUUGGAUUAUGAUUCCACCGUCUGUACAAGAAGCAUGGCAUCAGCAUCUGUUUCUGGUGAGGGCUUCCAGGAGCUUCCAAACAUUGUGCAAGUGGAAGGGGAGCUGGUGUGUCACAUGGUGAGAGAGGAAGCAAGAGAGGAGGAGGUGCCAUGCUCUUUUAAACAACCAGUUCUCACGUGAACUCACUCAUUACCUCGAAGGAGGACACCAAGCCUUUCGUGAGGGAUGUGCCCCUAUGACCCAAACACCUCCCACUAGGCCCCACCUCCAACGUGGGAGAUCAAAUAUCAAUAUGAGAUUUGGAGGGGACAAAUAUCCAAACCAUAUCACUAGGUUUAAGAGGAGAGGAGCCAUUUUUGCUUCUACCCCUUGAUGGCUAGUCCUGUGUAUUCUGGCUGGGGAAGAAAUAGAACUGAUGCAACUUGUAUUCUUUGUCCUGAAAGAGUCCAACUUGUCAAGAUGUCAUCUCCCAACUGGCUCCAUGGGGAAUGUUGGGCUAACAAAUGGUGCUUUUUAAAACAAAGUACAGAAUUUUUGCAAAUACAGUGGUGGCUAAGGCUCUUUUGACUUUAACACUGCAUUGCAUGGUGAAUCAGUGGUUUAAAAAUUGCAUUGGAGGGGAGCCUAUUUUUUUUUCUUCACCUCUCCUUGAGUGCUUUAAAGUGGCCAUCAGAUGCCCAUAGAUGUCCAGUCUGCUGUUCCCAGCAUCACUCAUCACCAGAGAAUCGGCUGGCUUCCUGGGGGUGUACUGGUAUCUUUCUCAUGGUCAGCCUUUGUUUAUCUUGGGGGAGGAGGGCAAAUAGCAGCAGCUUUCACUAAUUAAUCAGCAGCUGUGUAUCAGUCCAUCACCCUGCAUGUCAGGGAAUAGUGCUGGCAGAGUGAUUAAAAGCAUGGGCUUUUGUGUGGCACAGCUCUGGGCUGAGGCCUGCAGAUUUGCUGGGAGACCCAUCUCUCUCAUUUGCUCUGUGACCUCGGAUGAGUUACUUGGGCCCUGUGAGUCUGAGUUUCUUAUCUGUAAAAUGCAGUAUAUUUCCUGGCGUUGUUAGAAUUGAAUAAAGUCAUCAGAAAAGGGAUUGGUUAGGCCCCUAGAUAAUUCUCAGUAAAUGAUAGCUAUUUUUAUACCAAAUGCAAAGAAGAGUCAAACGUAAGUACAAGAUUUGUCCCCAAGACAGGAAUGAUGUAAAGAAUUCCUUUGAACCUUCAUUCCUUCAUCUACAAAAUGAGGACGUUUGUCCUAAUCGAUCCAUCUCCAAGGGCUGUUGUUCACCAUAUUGGGUGGGCAACUGCACGACAGAACAGUGUGGAAUGUGGCACACCCCAGGUCACCAGGGCCACAGGCAUUGGUCAGAGAAGUCAGUGUUCACAAGGGCAAGGGCAGCCUGGAGAGGUAGGUUUCGUGCUUCUAGGACAGGGAAGGAUAGGGAGAAGUAGGAGGACUUUGAGGGACGCUCCCUCUCUAAGGGAGUAGCUAGCAGGGUGGAAGAAAGUAAAAAUGCCUUGUACUAAUAGAAUGCUUUCAAGAAUACAGAAUAUUUGGCCAGGUGCAGUGGCUCACAACUGUAAUCUUAGCACUUUGGGAGGCCAAGGCGGGUGGAUUGUCUGAGCUCAGGAGUUCCAGACCAGCUUGGGCAACACGGUGAAACUCCGUUUCUACUAAAAAUAAUACAAAAAAAUUAGCCAGGCAUGGCGGUGCAUGCCUGUAGUCCCAGCUUCUUGGGAGGCUGAGGCAGGAGAAUUGCUUGAACCCAGGAGGCGGAGAUUGCAGUGAGCCAAGAUCACACCACUGCACUCCAGCCUUGGGGACAGAGCCAGACUCUAUCUCAGGAAAAAAAAAAAAAAAAAGAAUACAGAGUAUUUUUGUGGACCUUAUUUAAUCAUCUGACAGGAAGGUAGUUCAAGUCUUACCGGAUUUUUCAAUAGGUGUGAUAAGAUUAUCAAUAUGUGGACAUUUGGCACCCCACAGCACACCCAGUCACCUGGUAUCAUGGAGUCCGGCCCAGUGUUGGGGUGGAGGUGGUAUACUCUGGUCAACAGUGUUGACCUAAUUGUGCUGAAGGAAUAGACAGGCAAUUGCAGACUGAAAGUACUGUUUGUGUAUGUGUGUACGUGUGUGUACACCAUGGUUGUCCAAAGUCACUUCCUCAGAAAAUCUAAAUGGGAAAUGAGUGUUAUCGAUGAGUUCAUUAAUAGCCAACAGAUUUCCUCGUAUCAUUUAGAAGGGAGAUGAACUUUUGGAGUCGCCCUACCUGUCUGACUCUGUGCAGAUGAGGAAACUGAGGCCAUUGAUGGAGAAAGAAAUCUCCCAGGGCCAGUCAACCUGGUCGUGCCAGCCCCUGGAAGAAUCCAGAGUUCUUGGCGACUCACCAUGGCUCCACAUUGGCCCCUUGCCUCAGCUUUCAGUCGUGUAACAUUGUGUUAAUCACUUCAGCUUCAGGCGUCAUUCC